CCUACGGGUGGCAGCAGUAGGGAAUCUUUCACAAUGGGCGAAAGCCUGAUGGAGCAACGCCGCGUGCAGGAUGAAGGCCUUCGGGUUGUAAACUGCUUUUAUAAGCGAGAAAUAUGAUGGUAACUUAUGAAUAAGGAUCGGCUAACUACGUGCCAGCAGCCGCGGUCAUACGUAGGAUCCGAGCAUUAUCCGGAGUGACUGGGUGUAAAGAGUUGCGUAGGUGGCAUAAUAAGUAGCUAGUGAAAUCUGGUGGCUCAACCAUUCAGACUAUUAGCUAAACUGUUAAGCUCGAGACCGUUAGGGGUAACUGGAAUUUCUAGUGUAGGAGUGAAAUCCGUAGAUAUUAGAAGGAACACCAAUAGCGUAGGCAGGUUGCUGGGACGGUUCUGACACUAAGGCACGAAAGCGUGGGGAUCGAACAGGAUUAGAUACCCCUGUAGUC
rnacentral:rRNA from 1 species